rnacentral:rRNA from 1 species
GAUGAACGCUGGCGGCGUGCCUUAUACAUGCAAGUCGAGCGACCACACGAGCUGCUUGCUCCUCUUACGUUAGCGUCGGACGGGUGAGUAAAAUGUGUCUAACCUACCUAUAAGGCUGGGAUAACUUCGGCAAACCGUACCUAAUUCCGGCUUAUAUAUUGAGCCGCAUGGUUCAGUAGUUACAGACGGUUUUGUUGUCACUUAUACAUUGAUCCGUGCCGCAUUAGCUAGUUGGUAAGGUAACGGCUUACCAAGGCAACGAUGCGUAGCCGACCUGAGAGGGUGAUCCGCCACACUGGGACUGAGACACGGUCCAGACUCCUACGGGAGGCAGCAGUAGGGAAUUUUGCGCAAUGGGCGAAAGCCUGACGGAGCCACGCCGCGUGAGUGAAGAAGGCCUUCGGAUCGUAAAGCUCUGUUAGUAGGGAAGAAAAAGCAUGUAAGUAAACAGGGAGGGGUUGACGGUACCAAAACAAGAAGCAACGGCUAACUACGUG